rnacentral:rRNA from 1 species
AACGAACGCUUGCUGCAUGCUUUAUACAUGCAAGUCGAACGGAGGCCCUAGCUUGCUAGGUGUCCUUAGUGGCGCACGGGUGAGUAACACGUGGGAACAUACCUCAUAGUACGGAAUAACUGCGGGAAACUGUAGCUAAUACCGUAUAUUCCAGCAAUGGGAAAGAUUUAUCGCUAUGAGAUUGGCCCGCGCAAGAUUAGUUUGUUGGUAAGGUAAUGGCUUACCAAGGCUACGAUCUUUAGCUGGUUUGAGAGGAUGAUCAGCCACACUGGGACUGAGACACGGCCCAGACUCCUACGGGAGGCAGCAGUAGGGAAUAUUGGACAAUGGGGGCAACCCUGAUCCAGCAAUGCAGCGUGAGUGACGAAGGCCUUAGGGUUGUAAAACUCUUUCAUCGGUGAGGAUAAUGACAGUAGCCGAAGAAGAAGGACCGGCUAAUUCCGUGCCAGCAGCCGCGGUAAUACGGAAGGUCCUAGCGUUGUUCGGAAUUACUGGGUGUAAAGCGCAUGUAGGCGGAACAGAAAGUUAGAAGUGAAAUCCCUGGGCUCAACCUAGGAAUUGCUUUUAAAACUUCUGUUCUGGAAUUCAGGAGAGGAAAAUGGAAUAUCCAGUGUAGAGGUGAAAUUCGUAGAUAUUGGAUGGAACACCAGUGGCGAAGGCGAUUUUCUGGACUGAUAUUGACGCUGAGAUGCGAAGGCAUGGGUAGCAAACGGGAUUAGAUACCCCGGUAGUCCAUGCAGUAAACGAUGGGUGGUAGUCGUCGGACUUAUGUUCGGUGUCGUAGCUAACGCGUUAAAGCACCCCGCCUGGGGAGUACGGUCGCAAGAUUAAAACUCAAAUAAAUUGACGGGGACCCGCACAAGCAGUGGAGCAUGUGGUCUAAUUCGACGCAACGCGAAGAACCUUACCAGCGUUUGACAUGGGAAGUACCGGUUACAGAAUGGUAACCUUCAGUUCGGCUGGCUUCCACACAGGUGCUGCAUGGCUGUCGUCAGCUCGUGUCGUGAGAUGUUGGGUUAAGUCCCGCAACGAGCGCAACCCUUAUCGUUAGUUACUAACAGUUCGGCUGAGGACUCUAGCGAAACUGCCGGUGAUAAGCCGGAGGAAGGUGGGGAUGACGUCAAGUCCUCAUGGCCCUUACACGCUGGGCUACACACGUGCUACAAUGGUAACUACAACGGGACGCAAUACCGCGAGGUGGAGCAAAUCCCCAAAAGUUAUCUCAGUUCGGAUUGCACUCUGCAACUCGAGUGCAUGAAGUUGGAAUUGCUAGUAAUCGCGGAUCAGCAUGCCGCGGUGAAUAGUUCCCGGGUCU